rnacentral:lncRNA from 1 species
AAUCCUAAUGGCUUAUCAACCUUCAUGAUUGUGACGCCUUCUUCUACCAUCUCCUUUCCCAAAUCCAUCUUUGUUUCUAUCUUUUCUCAUUUUAUUUGUCACUUCGAUUCAAGAAUCACUUGGUGAGAUCCUUUAUUGUAGGUGGAAGCAACUCCGUCCACAUCACAUAACGAUCCCCAUCAUCAUCUUUAUAGAACAUCGAUGAGACUGUUAUGACUAACCAGUGACGACCAUGCGAUUGUUUACACAAGAAAUCACAAAAACUAACAAAAAUUAAACAAACUA